UUCCUACGGGAGGCAGCAGUGGGGAAUAUUGGACAAUGGGCGCAAGCCUGAUCCAGCCAUGCCGCGUGAGUGAUGAAGGCCCUAGGGUUGUAAAGCUCUUUCACCGGUGAAGAUAAUGACGGUAACCGGAGAAGAAGCCCCGGCUAACUUCGUGCCAGCAGCCGCGGUAAUACGAAGGGGGCUAGCGUUGUUCGGAAUUACUGGGCGUAAAGCGCACGUAGGCGGACAUUUAAGUCAGGGGUGAAAUCCCGGGGCUCAACCCCGGAACUGCCUUUGAUACUGGGUGUCUCGAGUCCGGAAGAGGUGAGUGGAAUUCCGAGUGUAGAGGUGAAAUUCGUAGAUAUUCGGAGGAACACCAGUGGCGAAGGCGGCUCACUGGUCCGGUACUGACGCUGAGGUGCGAAAGCGUGGGGAGCAAACAGGAUUAGAUACCCGGGUAGUCUU
rnacentral:rRNA from 1 species